GAAAUGCGAUAAGUAGUGUGAAUUGCAGAAUUCAGUGAAUCAUCGAAUCUUUGAACGCACAUUGCGCCCCUUGGUAUUCCAUGGGGCAUGCCUGUUCGAGCGUCAUUUGUACCCUCAAGCUCUGCUUGGUGUUGGGUGUUUGUCCCCGUCUCCGCGCGUGGACUCGCCCCAAAGUGAUUGGCAGCCGGCGUACUGGUCCCGGAGCGCAGCACAUGUCGCGCAAACGAGUGCCUUGGUACGGCGGCGUCCAUAAGCCCCUCUCUCACGCUCUUGACCUCGAAUCAGGUAGGGAUACCCGCUGAACUUAAGC
rnacentral:misc_RNA from 1 species